rnacentral:rRNA from 1 species
CGGGGUGAGUAACACGUGGGAACGUGCCUUUUGGUUCGGAACAACUCAGGGAAACUUGAGCUAAUACCGAAUGUGCCCCCAUUUUUGACCGGAUGGGUGGGAAAGAUUUAUCGCCAUUAGAGCGGCCCGCGUCUGAUUAGCUAGUUGGUGGGGUAAAGGCCCACCAAGGCUACGAUCAGUAGCUGGUCUGAGAGGAUGAUCAGCCACACUGGGACUGAGACACGGCCCAG